rnacentral:rRNA from 1 species
GACGAACGCUGGCGGCGUGCUUAACACAUGCAAGUCGAACGGAAAGGCCCUGCUUUUGUGGGGUGCUCGAGUGGCGAACGGGUGAGUAACACGUGAGUAACCUGCCCCUGACUUUGGGAUAACUUCAGGAAACUGGGGCUAAUACCGGAUAGGAGCUCCUGCUGCAUGGUGGGGGUUGGAAAGUUUCGGCGGUUGGGGAUGGACUCGCGGCUUAUCAGCUUGUUGGUGGGGUAGUGGCUUACCACGGCUUUGACGGGUAGCCGGCCUGAGAGGGUGACCGGCCACAUGGGGACUGAGAUACGGCCCAGACGCCUACGGGCGGCAGCAGUGGGGAAUAUUGCACAAUGGGCGGAAGCGUGAUGCGGCAACGCCGCGUGCGGGAUGACGGCCUUCGGGUUGUAAACCGCUUUCGCAUGUGACGAGGCGUGAGUGACGGUAAUGGGUAAAGAAGCACCGGCUAACUACGUG